ACAGACAGCAUCAAGCGUCCAUGGUUCCAAUGAGAACAUAACAUAAGAACAGCCCUGCACAAGGCCCAUCUAGUCCAGCAUCCUGUUUCAUUUGUGGCCCACCAGAUGCCUCUGCGGAGCCCACAGGCAAGAGACUCCUCUGCAAAUAGAACAGAAGAGCAUGUCGUACAUCUAGGCUAUGCACUGCUCUUUCCAGUGGCAAGCCAGGACCAUGAAAAAAGAAACCCAGAACCCAACCAUUUUUACGGUCCAGCCCUUGAUUCUCUUGGUGUCUCAAGUCGGUGACCGAGGCUGGUAGGAAUGCCAUGCAGGCUGGAACCCACGGGCUUUGAAGAUUCAGGCACAGUGGAUGGAUGCAGCUCAUCUCUGAAGACCUCAUCCUCACCCCAUGCUGAUGUAUCUUAAUUUCAUUUUCACACAUGAAGUUUAAAUGGUUGUUUUUCUUUUUGCAUUUCUGGCAUAUCUUAUUUUCAAUGUUAAAUCCAACACUGGCAAGAAUCUACAUUCAUUAAAAAAUACCUCUUUUCA